ACGGAAGGUCCAGGCGUUAUCCGGAUUUAUUGGGUUUAAAGGGAGCGUAGGCCGCAAGUCAAGCGUGUUGUGAAAUGCAGGGGCUCAACCUCUGGAUUGCAGCGGGAACUGGCAUGCUUGAGUACGCACGAGGUAGGCGGAAUUUGUGGUGUAGCGGUGAAAUGCUUAGAUAUCACGAAGAACUCCGAUUGUGGAGGCAGCUUACCGGAGCGCAACUGACGCUGAGGCUCGAAAGUGUGGGGAUCAAACAG
rnacentral:rRNA from 1 species